rnacentral:pre_miRNA from 1 species
GGAGUACUAAAUAUAUUGCACAUGUUCAUACAUGUAAAUCAUAUUUAGCACUCAAGUAC